CUCUUUCUCUCUCUAAAUGUUCUCAGUAGGAGUUGACUGUUGACUGUUGGUUGUUUGGCCUGAAAUAGCCUAAACAAACUCAGUGUGGGUGACAGUGUUGAGAAAUCCCUUACAGAAUCACCCACCACAACAGGACCAAGCGGCGUGGUAAACAGCAGCUGCAGCAAAAGCAGGAGAAGGAACAGCAACAGCGAGGUCAGGAUUUCGGGACAUGGGAGCAGAAUCUGGACAACACAACUUGGGAGGAGAUAGACAGGUGGGCGGUCGACCCAGGGAGAGUACCGGAGCCCGCCUGGGAUUCGAUGGAGCAGUGCAAGGAAGGCUACAGGAGAAUGAGGUUGGCGAAGCCAGCACGGCAGUGCGACAGGUACGAGAGGCAGCCCCAAAAAUGUUUUUGGGGGGGGGGGCAGACGAGGUGUGGUACUAAGCCAGGUAGCAGACCUGAGCUCACUCCUCGUGCUUAUUAUAAGCAGCGCAUUACUGGUCAGGCACCGUGUUAUGCGGUUAAGCGCACGGUGUCGCCAGUACGUGCCCAUAGCCCGGUGCGCUAUAGGGCAGCCCCCCGAAAGUGCCAUGCGAGUGUGGGCAUCGAGCCAGGGUGUAUGGUGCCUGCUCAGCGUGUCUGGUCGCCGGUGCGCAGUUUUGGUCCAGGGUAUCCUGCACCGGCUCUGCGUACUGUGUCUCCAGGGCACUGGGAGGGUGCAGUGCGUCCUCUGCCUGCGCUCCGCUCGUGCCGGGCAAAUGUGGGAGUGGAGCCUAAGGGAGAGGUGCGUGUAGUAAGCACCAGAUCUCCCGUGCUUACCCACAGCCCGGUUCAACCUGUGCCUGCACUCUGGAGGGUCCGGGCUAGAGUAGUUGUCCAGCCUGGGGAAGUGGUGCCAAGGUUGCGCUCCAGUGCUCCCCCACAGCCCGGUCCUUCAGGUGCCUCCUAACACCAAGCCUCCUGAAGGUCUCCCCAGCCUGGUGGUUCCUGUGGCAGCCCCACGCACCAGGCUGUCUCUGUCUCCUCCCUGCAGGUGGUCCCACCUGUCCGGCGCUGCUGCCGGAGUCUCCCGCCUGUCCGGCGCUGCUGCCGGAGUCGCCAGAGCCCCUCUGUCCAGAGCCCCUGCCCCUCUGUCCAGAGCCCCUGCCCCUCUGUCCAGAGCCCCUGCCCCUCUGUCCAGAGCUUCCGCCCCUCUGUCCAGUGGGGUCAUUGAGACGGGUGGACAUGGUUAGAAAGCCACGGAGGCAAACAAUAAGGCGGACUAAGACAAUGGUGAAGUGGGGUCCGCGUCCCACGCCAGAGCCGCCACCGCGGACAGACGCCCACCCAGACCCUCCCCUAUAGGUUAAGGUUUUGCGGCCGGAGUCCGCACCUUUGGGGGGGUACUGUCACGUUCUGACCUUUAUUUCCUUUGUUUUGUCAUUAUUUAGUCUGGUCAGGGCGUGAGUUGGGGUGGGCAGUCUGUUUGUUUUUCUAUGAUUUGGGUAUUUCUAUGUUUCGGCCUAGUAUGGUUCUCAAUCAGAGGCAGGUGUCAUUAGUUGUCUCUGACUGAGAAUCAUACUUAGGUAGCCUGGGUUUCACUGUGUGUUUGUGGGUGAUUGUUCCUGUUUUUGCACCAGAUGGGACUGUUUUAGGUUUUCUCACGUUUGUUGUUUUUGUUAGUUAUCUCAUGUGUAGUGUCUUUAUAAAUUAAAGAACAUGAAUAACCACCAUG